UACAGAGGUCUCAAGCGUUGUUCGGAUUCAUUGGGCGUAAAGGGUGCGUAGGCGGCGCGGUAAGUCGGGUGUGAAAUCUCGGGGCUUAACUCCGAAACUGCAUUCGAUACUGCCGUGCUUGAGGACUGGAGAGGAGACUGGAAUUUACGGUGUAGCGGUGAAAUGCGUAGAUAUCGUAAGGAAGACCAGUGGCGAAGGCGGGUCUCUGGACAGUUCCUGACGCUGAUGCGCGAAAGCCAGGGGAGCGAACGGG
rnacentral:rRNA from 1 species